UGCGUGGACGCCAGCUCAGCCACCCUUAGGCCUUGGAGCCCGCGCGGAUCCGGGACCUGAGGUGACCUCUCUGUCCCAGUUGGACGAGACCUCACCUCGUCCGGAGAACUACGGACAAAGGCCUGAACGGGCCCGGAAGAAAAGAAAUGUCUUCUGGAAAUGACUUUUCGAAAUGGAGUUGUUUGACCACCUCUAGAGGCGACAUCAGGAGCCACAGAGGUCCACGUUUGUCCAGUGGGUUAGAGGACAUGGAAUGGCAGACGUUGAGGAGGAAGAAAAGAAGGUUCUAUGCCAGACUGGUCACAGUUAGAAGACUUUUCCAUAUUAGAACCAUUGUUUUGUGUGUGCAUUUUAUUCCUUACUACUGUAAUGUAGUUGACAAUAAGUACUUUUUUGAAAUAUCUAGCCUUUCUAGAUGUUCUGAAGUGCCUGAUAUAUGUUCAAAGUAGAGGUAGUAAAAAGACAUUUUGUAAAUAUCUUUUUGUUAAAAUUCGUAUGAAAUGUUGUUUUGGGGGGAAGGGGUGGCCAAACCACCUUUUUGAACAGUACGCAGUAUGCACUGUGUUUGUGCACUGGUUCAAGGUCGGGGAGAGGAGAAGGAAGUGCAAAGAGCUCUGUGCAGUGUGUUUAUAGUGAGGCAAGAUUAACCAUUGUCUUUUUUAUGUUCCUGCAUUUUGUUUCACUUUGCUGUGUAUAUAGUGUAUAUAAUGGACAAAUGAGUCCUAAUUUACAACACCUAGUCUUUCUAGAUGUUAAAGAGGUUGCCAGUGUAUGACAAAAAUAGAGUUAGUAAAUAAUACAUUUUGUACAUUUUGUGUUAAAAUUUCUAGGAAAGAUUGUCUUCUGAAAAUUUGAGCAUUAUAGCCCUCUGGGUUGGAGGUGGGGGAGAGAGAGAAGGGGGUUGGUCUUAGAAUGGCUAGAAUGCUGGUAUUUUGAAGACACUUUCAGAUUAUAACUGUUACAUGUGUGCAGUUCGUUCAAUACUGCUCUGUAUAUAGUGGACAAAUUAAGUCCUUAUUUGAAACAUCUAGUCCAUCUAGAUGUUUAGAAGUGCCCAACGUAUGUUAAAUGUAGAGAUAGUAAAAUAUCACUUUGUAAAUAUCUUUUUGCUAAAAUUCAUAGGAAGUACUGUCUUUGGGAAUGUUAAAUGUUAAACCACCUCUCUGAACAGUAUACUAUUGUCUAUACUUGUUCAGUGGUUUGGAGGAGGGAGGGAAAGAAUUGCAAAAGGUAAUAUGCUAGUGUGUUCAUACCUGGACGUUUUCAUACAAAACCAUUUUUUAUAUGUUCAUUUUGUUUUGCUGUGUAUAUAGUGUAUAUAAUGGACAAAUUGAGCCCUAAUUUUGCAACAUCUAGUCUCUAGAUGUUAAAGGGGUUGCCAGUGUAUGACAAAGUAGUUAGUAAAAUUAGCACAUUUUGUCCACUUUAUUGAAAUUCAUAGGAAAGCUUGUCUUCUGUAAAUGACUUUUGGAUAUGAAUUUGUUCAACCAUCUCUAAGCGUUACACAUGCAUGUACUUGUCCACUGGAUUGGCGGCAGAGAGAAGGAAGUGAGGGAGGAAAUGGUUCAGGCCAAAAUGGUCAUAUUUAGAAGAUACCUCAGAUUAUAACCCUUGUUACAUGUGUGCAAUUUUAUUUAACAGUGCUGUGUACAUAGUGGACAAGUAAGUUCUUAUAUGAAAUAUCUGUUCUUUCUAGAUGUUUAGAAGUGCUUGAUGUAUUUAAAAGUAGUUUUAGUAGAAUAAUGCUUCUUGUAAAUAGCUUUUAAAAACUGAUGGGAAAUACUGUCUUUGGAAAUGGAAUUGUUAAACCUCCUCUCUGAACAGUAUACUCUGUGCUUGUUCAUUGGGUUUAAGGAGGUGGGAGGGAAGAUUGCAAAAGGUGUUUUGCUAGCAGUUACUAGAACAUUGCAACUUACCCAUUGCUCUAUAUGUGACAUGCAUUUUGUUUAACUUUACUGUAAAUAUUUUGUAUAUACUGGACCAAUGGGUCCCAAUUUUAUAAUAUCUAGUUUCUAGAUAUUAAAGAGGUUGCCAAUGUAUGACAAAAGUAGAGUUAGUAAACUAACACAUUUUGUACACUUUGUGUUAAAAUUCAUUGAAAGGCCGUCUUCUGAAAAGGACCUUUGGAAGUGAAAUUGUAAAUCACAUCUAAGUGACACCUGUGCCUGUACUUGCCCAAUGUUGGAUGGAUGGCCGAAAGGAGGUGCUGGGAGAAAUGAAGUGUUCUAGAUUAGAAUGUUCCUAUGUAGAAGACACUUUCAGAUCUAACCAUUGUUACAUGUGUGUAGUUUAUUCAACACUACUGUGUAUAUAGUGGACAAACUUAAGUCCUUAUUUGAAACAUCUGGUCUUUCUAGAUGUUUAGAAGUGCACAAAGUAUGUUAAAAGUAGAGGUAGUGAAGUAACAUAAUUUGUAGAUAUAUCCUUUUGUUAAAAUCCAUAUGAAAUACUGUCUUUUAGAAAUGGAGUGAUCAAAAUGAUCAAACCACCUCUCUGAGCAGUACACAUUAUUUUAUUUGUGCUGGUUCAGGGAGAAAGAAGAAAGUGUAAAGGGCUUUAUACCAAGACUAACCAUUGUCCGGUAUGUCUCUGCGUUUUGUUUUACUUGGCUGUGUACAUAGUGUACAUAAAGGACAGAAGUCCAAAUUUACAACAUCUAGUCUUCCUAGAUGUUAAAGAGGUUGCCAGUGUAUGACAAAAAUAGCCGAUAAAUACAUUGUGUACGCUUUGUGUUAAAAUUCAUAGGAAAGACUUCUGAAAACAACUGGAGGAAGUAAAAUUGUUAAAAUCCCCUCUAAGCAUUACAGAUGCUUAUUAUUCUUGUCUGCUGGGUUGAUAGAGAUGAGAAGGGGAAGCUUCUAGGCCAGAGUGUUCCUGUUUAGGAGACACUUUGUGACUAUACCCUUUGUGUGCAGUUUCUUCAGUGCUACUACAUGUAUAUAUAGUGGACAAACUUAAAUCCGUAUUUGAAACAUCUAAUCUUUCUAGAUGUGUAAAAGUGCACAACAUAUGUUGAAAGUAGAGAGUUAAAAGUAACACGUUUUAAGUAUUUUUUUUCUGUUAAUUCAUAGGAAUGGUUGUAUUGGGGGAGUGGAAAUUGUUAAACUUGAGUCUUGGAGAGUAAGCUGACUAUUCACUGGGUGGUGGGGAGGCAGGGAGCAGACAGGGAAGGAAGUACAGAGAAGGGAUCUGUGCCCAUGAGUCUUUAGACAAGUUCAGAUUGUCUAACCAUUGUUCUAUUUGUGUGUUUUAGUUAAUUGCUGUGUAUUAAAGAAUAAGCAAGUCCUAAUGCCCAAAGUAUAUUAAAAGUAGAGGUAGUAAAAUAACCCCUUAAUAAAUGCCCUUUUGUUGGUUUUUAGGAAGGGCUGUGUCUUCUGGGAGCGUCUAUGUUAAUCCACCUCUUGGAGCUAGAUACAGUCCUGUACUUAGUCGCUGAUACGCUGGAGGAGGGGUAAGAGGAAGGGUGAAGGGAAGGGCUCUUGGCUAAUAUCUCCAUAUCUAGAAGACAGUUUUAGGUUAUAACCAUAGGUCUAAAUGUGCAUUUUUGUAAAGUACCAAUGCUUAUUAUGGACAAGGUUCAUUCAUUAUUUUGCAACAUCUAGGCUUUUUAGGAGUUCUGAGGUGACAAUGUAUGAUAAAAAGUAGAGCUAGUGAAUUAACCAAUUUGUAAAUAUCUUUGUUACCAUUGAUAAAAAAGUAGCAUCUUGGACAUGGAAUUGUUAAACCAUCUGAGAAAUGUACACCAGGACUUGUUCAUUAGGUUGGCAGCAGAGGGGCAGAAGGAAGUAUAAAAGGGAGGGAAGUAUGUGGAUAUGUUCCUUUUUAUAUUUUGAUGAUAACCAUUGAUGUAUGUGCAUCUCUUAGCUGUACUAUAGGAAUACAUUGUUAAGUAAUUCAAUGGAAACAUACCUCCUUGCUAAUACUUUAAUAGUUUAGAUCAGAUAAUGAAUCCUCUUAAAAGCAUUAUACUUUGGGUACUGUGUUGCAUUAUGUCUCAUUUUUAAUUGAACGUUAAGGGAAUGUAGUAUUUUAAGCAUAACUCUGCCAAUAUCUUUAUCUAGAGGCCUGUUGCCAUUUUUGUCUUUUCUGAAGUUUUUGUCGCCAAGAAAGGAUUACAUUUUUUUUCCUUCCAGAUUGAGUUGGUGUAGUGUAUUUUUGGUUAUCAAAAUACUCAUAGCUUUGGGACUUUGAAGUGGUAAAUAUUCAUGAUGUGUGAAAAGCAUGAUACAUAACUGUAUGAUCUUAAUUACAUAAAAAUGGAUGCUUAGUUGUGUUUAAAUACACAAACGAGACCUAGAAGGACACAUCAAAUGGUGAACUGCUUGUGAUGAUGGAUGACUUUGUUUUUUGCUUCUUGUGUUCUUUGGUUUCCUAUUAUGCACAUGUUAACUUUUAAGAAAUAAAUGUUAUAUUGAAAA